AGAUGUUUUUCGUUUCUGUGAUCCUAAGUGUCAUCAGCUUCGUAGACGCCCAGAGAGUUGACGUGACGCUAGUGAACCAGUUCCCGUUCGUGGCUGACUCUGACACGUUCCUGAAAUGCGUCAGCGACGAGGCCAGCUCCAUCCGGGACAUCAGGUUCAACGUCAUCGCUGACGUAGGCAACGGCGCCAACUACCCCAACCAAGUCAGUGCGGGUAACAUCGACCCCGAGUCGUGGCCGGGCGCGCAGAACUCCAUCGCUGCCGGGUCCGGGGCCAGUCGGAUGAACGUGUUCUCCUGCUCGCUACA